rnacentral:rRNA from 1 species
CUACGGGUGGCAGCAGUGGGGAAUAUUGCACAAUGGGCGCAAGCCUGAUGCAGCCAUGCCGCGUGUAUGAAGAAGGCCUUCGGGUUGUAAAGUACUUUCAGCGGGGAGGAAGGGAGUAAAGUUAAUACCUUUGCUCAUUGACGUUACCCGCAGAAGAAGCACCGGCUAACUCCGUGCCAGCAGCCGCGGUAAUACGGAGGGUGCAAGCGUUAAUCGGAAUUACUGGGCGUAAAGCGCACGCAGGCGGUUUGUUAAGUCAGAUGUGAAAUCCCCGGGCCCAGCCUGGGAACUGCAGCUGAUACUGGCAAGCUUGAGUCUCGUAGAGGGGGGUAGAAUUCCAGGUGUAGCGGUGAAAUGCGUAGAGAUCUGGAGGAAUACCGGUGGCGAAGGCGGCCCCCUGGACGAAGACUGACGCUCAGGUGCGAAAGCGUGGGGAGCAAACAGGAUUAGAUACCCUAGUAGUC